rnacentral:rRNA from 1 species
CUGAGUGGCGGACGGGUGAGUAACGCGUGGGUAACCUGCCCUGUACAGGGGGAUAACAGUUAGAAAUGACUGCUAACACCGCAUAAGCGCACAGGAAGGCAUCUUUCGGUGUGAAAAUAUUUAUAGGUACAGGAUGGGCCCGCGUCUGAUUAGCCAGUUGGCAGGGUAACGGCCUACCAAAGCAACGAUCAGUAGCCGGCUUGAGAGAGUGAACGGCCACAUUGGGACUGAGACACGGCCCAAACUCCUACGGGAGGCAGCAGUGGGGAAUAUUGCACAAUGGGGGAAACCCUGAUGCAGCGACGCCGCGUGAGUGAAGAAGUAUUUCGGUAUGUAAAGCUCUAUCAGCAGGGAAGAAAAUGACGGUACCUGACUAAGAAGCCCCGGCUAACUACGUGCCAGCAGCCGCGGUAAUACGUAGGGGGCAAGCGUUAUCCGGAUUUACUGGGUGUAAAGGGUGCGUAGGUGGUCUGGCAAGUCAGAAGUGAAAACGCAGGGCUUAACCCUGCGACUGCUUUUGAAACUGUCAGACUAGAGUGCAGGAGAGGCAAGCGGAAUUCCUAGUGUAGCGGUGAAAUGCGUAGAUAUUAGGAGGAACACCAGUGGCGAAGGCGGCUUGCUGGACUGUUACUGACACUGAGGCACGAAAGCGUGGGGAGCAAACAGGAUUAGAUACCCUGGUAGUCCACGCCGUAAACGAUGAUUACUAGGUGUUGGGAGAUUGACCCUCUCAGUGCCGCAGUUAACACAAUAAGUAAUCCACCUGGGGAGUACGACCGCAAGGUUGAAACUCAAAGGAAUUGACGGGGGCCCGCACAAGCAGUGGAGUAUGUGGUUUAAUUGGACGCAACGCGAAGAACCUUACCAAGUCUUGACAUCCCUUGACGAUGCUGGAAACAGUAUUUCUCUUCGGAGCAAGGAGACAGGUGGUGCAUGGUUGUCGUCAGCUCGUGUCGUGAGAUGUUGGGUUAAGUCCCGCAAGGAGCGCAACCCUUAUGGUCAGUUACUACGCAAGAGGACUCUGGCCAGACUGCCGUUGACAAAACGGAGGAAGGUGGGGAUGACGUCAAAUCAUCAUGCCCUUUAUGACUUGGGCUACACACGUACUACAAUGGCGUUAAACAAAGAGAAGCAAGACCGCGAGGUGGAGCAAAACUCAGAAACAACGUCCCAGUUCGGACUGCAGGCUGCAACUCGCCUGCACGAAGUCGGAAUUGCUAGUAAUCGUGGAUCAGCAUGCCACGGUGAAUACGUUCCCGGGCCUUGUACACACCGCCCGUCA